rnacentral:rRNA from 1 species
GCCAGCCUCACCACCCAUCAAAACUCCUUAGCUCUUCUGAUCUGAGGAGCCAAGCAGAGUCAGGUGGUUAGUACUUGGGUGAGAGUUUCUGGGGCUUUUCAUCAAGGCAGGAC